rnacentral:rRNA from 1 species
CAAUAGCGUAUAUUAAAGUUGUUGCAGUUAAAAAGCUCGUAGUUGGAUUUGUGGCGUACGGUGUGUUCCGGGCACUUGUUGUCUGAGUAACCUGCUGUUGCCAUCCUUGGGUGGAACCUGUGUGGCAUUAGGUUGUCGUGCAGGGGAUGCCCAUCAUUUACUGUGAAAAAAUUAGAGUGUUCAAAGCAGGCUUAUGCCGUUGAAUAUAUUAGCAUGGAAUAAUGAGAUAGGACUUUUUUGCUAUUUUGUUGGUUUGCGUAAAGAGGUAAUGAUUAAUAGGGACAGUUGGGGGUAUUCGUAUUCCAUUGUCAGAGGUGAAAUUCUUGGAUUUUUGGAAGACGAACUACUGCGAAAGCAUUUACCAAGGAUGUUUUCAUUAA